CGCGGUAAUACGUAGGGUGCAAGCGUUAAUCGGAAUUACUGGGCGUAAGGCGUGCGCAGGCGGUUGUGUAAGACAGGCGUGAAAUCCCCGGGCUCAACCUGGGAAUUGCGCUUGUGACUGCACGGCUGGAGUGCGGCAGAGGGGGAUGGAAUUCCGCGUGUAGCAGUGAAAUGCGUAGAUAUGCGGAGGAACACCGAUGGCGAAGGCAAUCCCCUGGGCCUGCACUGACGCUCAUGCACGAAAGCGUGGGGAGCAAACAGGGUUAGAUACCCUGGUAGUCCACGCCCUAAACGAUGUCAACCGGUUGUUGGGUCUCUUCUGACUCAGUAACGAAGCUAACGCGUGAAGUUGACCGCCUGGGGAGUACGGCCGCAAGGUUGAAACCCAAAGGAAUUGACGGGGACCCGCACAAGCGGUGGAUGAUGUGGUUUAAUUCGAUGCAACGCGAAAAACCUUACCCACCUUUGACAUGUACGGAAUCCUUUAGAGAUAGAGGAGUGCUCGAAAGAGAGCCGUAACACAGGUGCUGCAUGGCUGUCGUCAGCUCGUGUCGUGAGAUGUUGGGUUAAGUCCCGCAACGAGCGCAACCCUUGUCAUUAGUUGCUACGAAAGGGCACUCUAAUGAGACUGCCGGUGACAAACCGGAGGAAGGUGGGGAUGACGUCAAGUCCUCAUGG
rnacentral:rRNA from 1 species